AAGACCGUACUUUUACAGGAUCAUUUCUAUAGUACCUUCUUUUCUACUUGACUUUCCUAGUAGACAACCUCAUUAACUUUGAUGAUCGUAUUCGACUUCAUUCAUUGACUCGGGAUGUCGGUGGUUGCAGUGCUG
rnacentral:snoRNA from 1 species